rnacentral:rRNA from 1 species
CAGUCGCCACGGUAAAACAGAGGGUGCGAGCGUUAAUCGGAUUUACUGGGCGUAAAGCGUGCGUAGGCGGCUUUUUAAGUCGGAUGUGAAAUCCCUGAGCUUAACUUAGGAAUUGCAUUCGAUACUGGGAAGCUAGAGUAUGGGAGAGGAUGGUAGAAUUCCAGGUGUAGCGGUGAAAUGCGUAGAGAUCUGGAGGAAUACCGAUGGCGAAGGCAGCCAUCUGGCCUAAUACUGACGCUGAGGUACGAAAGCAUGGGGAGCAAACAGGAUUAGAUACCCGCGUAGUCCCUGUCUCUUAUAC